rnacentral:rRNA from 1 species
UGGGGAAUAUUGCACAAUGGGCGCAAGCCUGAUGCAGCAACGCCGCGUGAACGAUGAAGGUCUUCGGAUCGUAAAGUUCUGUUGCAGGGGAAGAUAAUGACGGUACCCUGUGAGGAAGCCCCGGCUAACUACGUGCCAGCAGCCGCGGUAAUACGUAGGGGGCGAGCGUUGUCCGGAAUUACUGGGCGUAAAGGGUUCGCAGGCGGCAUGGCAAGUCCGAUGUAAAAGGCGAAGGCUCAACCUUCGUAAGCAUCGGAAACUGUCAAGCUUGAGUGAAGGAGAGGCAAGUGGAAUUCCUAGUGUAGCGGUGGAAUGCGUAGAUAUUAGGAGGAAUACCGGUGGCGAAGGCGACUUGCUGGACUUCAACUGACGCUGAGGAACGAAAGCGUGGGUAGCAAACAGG